rnacentral:rRNA from 1 species
UACGUAGGGUGCAAGCGUUGUUCGGAAUUACUGGGCGUAAAGGGUGCGUAGGCGGUUCGCUAAGUUGGAUGUGAAAACUCUGGGCUUAACCCAGAGCCUGCAUCCAAUACUGACGAGCUAGAGUUCUGGAGGGGGUAGCGGAAUUCCUGGUGUAGCGGUGAAAUGCGUAGAUAUCAGGAGGAACACCGGUGGCGAAGGCGGCUACCUGGACAGAGUCUGACGCUGAGGCACGAAAGCUAGGGGAGCAAACAGG